rnacentral:rRNA from 1 species
AGUGAACGCUGGCGGUAUGCCUAACACAUGCAAGUCGAACGGCAGCACAGUAACAGCUUGCUCUUACGGGUGGCGAGUGGCGGACGGGAGAGGAAUACAUCGGAAUCUACGGGUUCGUGGGGGAUAAGGUAGGGAAACUUACGCUAAUACCGCAUACUACCUACGGGUGAAAGCAGGGGAUCUUCGGACCUUGCGCGAUUGAAUGAGCCGAUGGCGGAUUAGCUAGUUGGCGGGGUAAAGGCCCACCAAGGCGACGAUCCGUAGCUGGUCUGAGAGGAUGAUCAGCCACACUGGAACUGAGACACGGUCCAGACUCCUACGGGAGGCAGCAGUGGGGAAUAUUGGACAAUGGGCGCAAGCCUGAUCCAGCCAUACCGCGUGGGGGAAGAAGGCCUUCGGGUUGUAAAGCCCUUUUGUUGGGAAAGAAAAGCAGCAGGUUAAUACCCCGCUGUUAUGACGGUACCCAAAGAAUAAGCACCGGCUAACUUCGUG